GACGAACGCUGGCGGCGCGCCUAACACAUGCAAGUCGAACGAGAGAUGAGGAGCUUGCUCUUCAAAUCGAGUGGCGAACGGGUGAGUAACGCGUGAGGAACCUGCCUCAAAGAGGGGGACAACAGUUGGAAACGACUGCUAAUACCGCAUAAGCCCACGGCUCGGCAUCGAGCAGGGGGAAAAGGAGCAAUCCGCUUUGAGAUGGCCUCGCGUCCGAUUAGCUAGUUGGUGAGGUAACGGCCCACCAAGGCGACGAUCGGUAGCCGGACUGAGAGGUUGAACGGCCACAUUGGGACUGAGACACGGCCCAGACUCCUACGGGAGGCAGCAGUGGGGAAUAUUGCACAAUGGGGGAAACCCUGAUGCAGCGACGCCGCGUGAGGGAUGGAGGCCUUCGGGUUGUAAACCUCUUUUAUCGGGGAGCAAGCGAGAGUGAGU
rnacentral:rRNA from 1 species